AACUACGUCCAUGCCACCCCGAACAAGCCCGAUCUCGUCUGAUCUCGGAAGCUAAGCAGGGUUGGGCCUGGUUAGUACUUGGAUGGGAGACCACCUAGGAAGAUCAGGUGCUGUAGGCA
rnacentral:rRNA from 1 species